GGGGAAUAUUGGACAAUGGGCGCAAGCCUGAUCCAGCCAUGCCGCGUGUGUGAUGAAGGCCUUAGGGUUGUAAAGCACUUUCGCCGGUGAAGAUAAUGACGGUAACCGGAGAAGAAGCCCCGGCUAACUUCGUGCCAGCAGCCGCGGUAAUACGAAGGGGGCAAGCGUUGCUCGGAAUCACUGGGCGUAAAGCGCACGUAGGCGGGUCGUUAAGUCAGGGGUGAAAUCCUGGAGCUCAACUCCAGAACUGCCUUUGAUACUGGCGACCUAGAGUUCGAGAGAGGUUGGUGGAACUGCGAGUGUAGAGGUGAAAUUCGUAGAUAUUCGCAAGAACACCAGUGGCGAAGGCGGCCAACUGGCUCGAUACUGACGCUGAGGUGCGAAAGCGUGGGGAGCAAAC
rnacentral:rRNA from 1 species